UACGGAGGGGCGAGCGUUGUUCGGAAUUACUGGGCGUAAAGGCGCGUAGGCGGCCGAUCAAGUCAGAUGUGAAAGUCCUGGGCUUAACCUGGGGACUGCAUUUGAUACUGAUUGGCUUGAAUUCGGGAGAGGAUAGCGGAAUUCCAAGUGUAGAGGUGAAUUCGAUAGAUAUUGGGAAGAACACCGGUGGCGAAGGCGGCUAUCUGGACC
rnacentral:rRNA from 1 species